rnacentral:rRNA from 1 species
AAAACGACUCAUUCGGCAACGGUAUAUCUCGGCUCUCGCAUUCGAUUAAGAACGUCAGCGAAUUGCGAUACUUGGUGUGAAUUGUGAGAAUCCCUCGUAUCAUCGAAGUCUUUGAACGCACGUUGCGCCCGAAGCCUUUCUUCCGAGGGCACGUCUGCCUGGGUGUCUUCGU